UACGUAGGCAGCAAGCGUUGUUCGGAGUUACUGGGCGUAAAGGGUGUGUAGGCGGUUGUUUAAGUUUGGUGUGAAAUCUCCCGGCUCAACUGGGAGGGUGCGCCGAAUACUGAGUGACUCGAGUGCGGGAGAGGAAAGUGGAAUUCCUGGUGUAGCGGUGAAAUGCGUAGAUAUCAGGAGGAACACCGGUGGUGUAGACGGCUUUCUGGACCGUAACUGACGCUGAAACACGAAAGCGUGGGUAGCAAACAGG
rnacentral:rRNA from 1 species